UUACGGCCAAAUCACGUUGAACACACCGGUUUCCGUACAAUCAGCGAAGUUAAACGACCUCGAGUCUGGUCAGUACCUAGAUGGGUGACCGCUUGAGAAUACCAAGUGCUGUAAG